rnacentral:lncRNA from 1 species
GCAUCCCUUGUCGUAGUGACCGGAUCUUUGUUGUAGCCCAUCGAACCUUGUCGUGUUCACCAAAUGCUUCUGCAAAUGCCUCCAAAAAGGUUUCGAAGUUGUUUAAUAUGGACGAUCGUUUCUCAAACAAAGGAGCAAACCAUGAUAGAACUUGUCCUGUAAGUAAGGUUCCAACAAGCCCAACACGUGACUCCUCCGUUGGAUAGCGUUCGGGCUGUAAAACUGUUAUCAACUUGAUUUAGUUGAUGAAUCCUCGAAACUUGGAACGUGUACCAUCGAACUUGUCCGGAAGGCUAACUCGGGGUUCCUUAUGUUGUAGAACCAGCGGUGCUUGUCGAACAUGAGGCAAAUUUGCUUCUCCAAGUGUAGAAGUUUGAGG